UGUAUAUCUAUGGUCGGCACGUCAGGUAGCAUCUCUGGCUGCUGUUGAUCUUGUUUUUGGAGUAAAACACGGUGGAAGCUGAAUUAGUGAGGAUGACUCCUGCUCCUGUCAUCUCUAAGCUCCUCACACCUCUUUACCUGCACAUGAGGAAAAUCACUCCUGUAGAAUGCAGAUGUUCAGAGGGAGAUGAUGCCACAUCUGGUCCAGCUGAUGGAAGGUCUUGAAGUUCUCUGACUGGCCUCGACUGAAGAUGGUCGUCUCACUGGAUUUAAGGUUCAGAUGCUCAGUAACAAACUCCACCAAUGAGCCAACAGGGAAGCUUUAGGUUUAUUAAAUGUUGCUAUGAAGGUAUCGCUGUUUUUCUUAGUGAAUGCAAUGUGCUCCAACUGAAAGUUGAAUUAGAACUUAGCAGUAAAUCCUUCCAUUUGUAAGGAUUUAGUUACAUUAAUAACCUCACAAUGUUCUAAUUUUUAUUCCAGUCUUGGUUGAAAAUAGAAUCUCUGUAUUGAUUCAGGUAAAAACUGAACUUCCCAUCUAGUCCCAUCUAGUUUUUAUGAGGAAUGUGAUGUUUUAAUUUCUCUGUGAAUAACUGCAGUCUAAUGCAACAGCUGGAGUUGUAACAUCUGUCCUGAUAUUGAUCAUGAAGUAUUGAUCAGAAUACUUAUGGUUAGCAGUCAUCCCUGAAGUUUUACAUUAAAAUCUUUACUUGUGUUGUGAACUUUGGUAAGAAGCAGAAACGUUAGCGUUGCCAUGGAUACAUGAGUAUUAAAUUCUGUCCAUGUUUCCAUUUUGGGAAAUGCAGUCCAGUUCCAGAAUGUGGAGGAAUUUAGUCUCACAAUCACAGACAACAAAUAUUAUCUGAAAGUUGGGUUAUUGUUGUUUAUCAGCACAAUACAUAAAGAUUAAUGUUAGAAAUAUUCUAUUUAAGACUCUAGAAUAUCAUGAUUUAUGUAAAUUUACCUCAAUAAUAUGAAUGUUCAGGUUAAGAUUGUACAGUGAUAUUUAUUAUGCAAGUUUAGCUGAUUAAAAUUUAUGACUCUGCACUAAAAUAUUAUUUAAAUUGACAUCAUUAUUAUAAUAUUUAGGGUCAGACCCUACGGUAUUGAGAUUAAGAAAUCAAACAUUCUAUAAAAUGUAAAUACACUGAACUCAUUUGGAUAUAUUUAAGUGAGACUCUACAAUAUUAUUUGAUACAAAUCUAUCAAAAUCAAAAUUUUAAUAAUUUUCACGCCAAACAUUUACUGGACUGAUUUAAACAUUAAAAUCACUCCUUUCUAAUCCUCAGCUGUACGUUCAAACCUGAGGCCUUAAAUAGAAACACACAAGUAUCUGAUUGAAGGAACUUCUGCAGAGUCCUGGUUCCAGAACAUGAUGAUAGAAUUAUAGACAAACUUUAACAAAAGCUGCCUGAGAGUUUACAGGUUUUUAUGUUAGAUUUCUUCAGUAAUUUAAUGAGCGUUAUCAGCAAUAAUCAAGUGUUCAUUUGAUGAACUUCAUUUCCUAAAACAUCCAGAAUUGGAGCUCAUAUCUUUGGCAGCUGUAAAGUUUCUGCUCCUUCAAAGAUCACAACACAAUGAAUGAAUUCCUAAAACACUCAAUGCUGGAGAGCGUUUGUGAUGCUGAAGCAGUGACCAGUUUUUCUGUUUCUUCUCUGGAGAUGCACAAUGAGGGACGUCUGUAGAGACUGAGAAAGAGUCUCACCACAUCCUGACAUGAGGAAAAAGACUUUAUUGAAGACUACAAUGAGAAAAACUAUCAGACAGCAGAUGGCUGCAUUCAAGGUGAGCUCUGAACAUUUGAUCUGGAACAGGAAUUCAAUAACGGCAGCAUGAGCUUCAUUUCAGUCUGUAGCUGCUGAAUUCAUGGAUGAAUCAUCUGGCACUAGAGAAGAAGACCAUCAAACAUCCACGUCAGCUGAUGGAGGUCCAAGAGUCUCACCGAACAAACAACCUACAGAGUGAAGACCUCUAACCUGAUUGGACGGCCUCCUAUUCAGCCACAUGUGUGAACAAAUGCCUCUAAGUUGAUUUGUUUUCUAAAAUAAAUCUAGUUUGAGUCCUAA